rnacentral:rRNA from 1 species
UACGGAAGGCAGCAGUGGGGAAUAUUGCACAAUGGGCGCAAGCCUGAUGCAGCCAUGCCGCGUGUAUGAAGAAGGCCUUCGGGUUGUAAAGUACUUUCAGUCGUGAGGAAGGUGUUAAGGUUAAUAACCUUAGCAAUUGACGUUAGCGACAGAAGAAGCACCGGCUAACUCCGUGCCAGCAGCCGCGGUAAUACGGAGGGUGCGAGUGUUAAUCGGAAUUACUGGGCGUAAAGGGCACGCAGGCGGUUAAUUAAGUUGGAUGUGAAAUCCCCGGGCUUAACCUGGGAAUGGCAUUCAAGACUGGUUAGCUAGAGUCUUGUAGAGGGGGUAGAAUUCCAUGUGUAGCGGUGAAAUGCGUAGAGAUGUGGAGGAAUACCGGUGGCGAAGGCGGCCCCUGGACAAAGACUGACGCUCAUGUGCGAAAGCGUGGGGAGCAAACAGGGAUUAGAUACC